AAGGUACCCGAAAGGGGAAGGCUGAGAAUCUUCGAUGAAGGUUUGAGCCGAGCGAAGCGAGACAACGUUGCCAAAGGCAACGGCCCGUAGGGUGAAUCGCGAAGCGAUGAAUAAUCCUUCCCCCACCACCA
rnacentral:sRNA from 1 species